AAGCCUUGUGGGCUGUUGGGGAAACUGUGUCCUAGAGAAAAAUGUAGAUUUCCUCUUCCCAGUUUCCCGGGGUGUGGUGAGCCCAGCCUCCUGAGUUGGGAGGGGCAGGCUUCCAGAAGCUUCCAUCCUGGCCACACAAAAAUCAAGAGACUGGAGCAGGACGCAGCCCUCUAAGGAACUCUGAGGAUUCACCGAACACUCGAGAGGAAGUGGUGCCCACGCUAAUGUGCUCGGAGGCACUUUUCUCUCUGUUCGUCCAUCAAAUUUCAGAUGUGGGAGCAGCAUCUAGAGGAUGAACCUGGAUUCAAAUCCUGGCUCCACCCUUUCUCAGCCACGUAACCAUGCC
rnacentral:lncRNA from 1 species